rnacentral:rRNA from 1 species
UACGUAGGUGGCGAGCGUUGUCCGGAUUUACUGGGCGUAAAGAGCGCGCAGGCGGUCGUUCAAGUCGCGUGUGAAAUCUCCCGGCUCAACUGGGAGGGUGCGCCGAAUACUGAGGGACUAGAGUGCGGGAGAGGAAAGUGGAAUUCCUGGUGUAGCGGUGAAAUGCGUAGAUAGUCAGGAGGAACACCGGUUGGUGUAGACGCUUCUGGACCG